AAUAAAGUCAGCUAAGUCAAUUAAGCUAGUGGGUUCAUACCCCAAAAAUGAUUUUUCCUUUAUUA
rnacentral:tRNA from 1 species